UACGUAGGGACCGAGCGUUGUCCGGAAUCAUUGGGCGUAAAGAGCGUGUAGGCGGCCGUACAGGUCAGCUGUGAAAACUCGAGGCUCAACCUCGAGACGUCGGUUGAAACCGUACGGCUAGAGUCCGGAAGAGGAGAGUGGAAUUCCUGGUGUAGCGGUGAAAUGCGCAGAUAUCAGGAGGAACACCGAGUGGCGAAGGCGGGUCUCUGGGCCGAUACUGACGCUGAGGAGCGAAAGCGUGGGAGCGAACAGG
rnacentral:rRNA from 1 species